AUGCUGCCCCUAGCUCUGUCCCCAGCUGCUGCCAGCAACCCAGAUGUCAGGAGGAGUCCUCUGCUCUCCCACAGGACUCCAGGCUGUGCUCAGAGCAUGAUCUCGCUGCUUCUGUGCUUACCCAGGGGGUUAAGGGCUUUCCUGGCUCCUUUCUCUAUGAACAAAGAGGAGGGCAGCACACAGGCACCAGAUGUGAUGAUGAGCAUCUCUGUGCCUCAGCAUCCCUUGCUGUACAAUAGGGAAUAUAUCUCCUUCGCUGCACUUCGGUGGACUUCCAUUUGUGAUUGUUCACAAAAGCAGAAGAAAUGGAGUCCUUUUGGAGUAUGUUUAAUCACUUGAAGAUUUAUUACUGCUCCAAGGGGGUUUCACUCUAUACCCUUUAUUUUUUUUGUCCCUCAUCUCAAUGACAACUUCAUCUCCCCAUCAGAAAAAUAUUUACAGGCACUUUAAAUGUGUCUUUUAAGGGCACAAAUUGAGGAAGUUAUUUCUGACAAAACAAACACUUUGAUCUCUUAGAAAAAUCAUUUGGGUUGAUCCAUAUGACAGGGAUUUUUGUGGCUUGGAUAGUGUGUGUUGCGUCAUCCAGUGGGGGGUGUUUGAACUAGAUCAACUUUAGGGUCCCUUCUAACCUGAGCCAUUCUUUGGGUCUUGAGUCAUCAUUGCUUCUUUGGGCUUCAAAGAGAUCGUGGGGGACACUUUUUACCAGCAUCUCAAUAAGUCUGUACAUUGCUGACCCUCUUAGCAAAAUAGAUUCUCCAAAAAGACAUCAGCUGGGCUGUCUGUCUUCCUGUAAUAGAACAAAAUAAUACAUUCAGUAAUUCUAGGUGUCCAAAUAUAAAAAUGAAGGGUGUAAGCUCUUGUGCGCAGCUCUGUUGCUAUUGCUGAUCUACCACACCACAUGCUGUGCCCAGCACCUCUCUGACUCCAUGUGCCAUUCUACCCUUGUGUUGGCCCAGCUCUUCACAGGAGUGCUGCUCAGAGCUGCUAUGCUGCUUGAGUUCUUUGCUCGUGGUAUUGCUAAAAUGGAGCCUCUGGUGCUUCCUUUGAGGACAACAAAAUGUUGAGAUGAGUUGCACGAAGAGGUGGAACCAGCAUCCUUGCUGUGGUUGGUUUCUUGGAGCUCUGUCCUAACACAGGCUGUGUUCCCUGCAGAACCCAUAGUUGUGUGCAGAUUUCUGACUGUGGCUGUUCCUUUGUAAAGCUGAGUGGUUCCAUGCAUGGGGUGAUGUGCUUCUCUCCCUUUUGCUCUGCACCUUUUUUGCAUUCACACUGCCACAUCUGUUCCUCAUCCAGAUUUCCCAGCUGUUUGAAAUAAGAUAGAGGAGAAAAAAACAAAAUU
rnacentral:lncRNA from 1 species